rnacentral:tRNA from 1 species
UGUGAUGUAGCUCAUUGGCAGAGUACCUGCCUGCCAAGCAUGAGGACCUGGAUUAAUUCCUAGUACUGCAA